GGGGGAAAUUGUGACUAAAGCUGAAAACUUUAGCUGCAAGUGACUUAAAGAGCUAAGGAAGGGCCAGGAUCUUAUAGCAGAUGUUUACAUGUUUGUUAUUUAUGUAGACAUGACUAAAAUAAUUAUGCCAUUAGAUAUAUAAUUCACGCCUUCAGACAUCACUAUAAAUGUACACAUUGGGCUAUAGGUCUCAAGAUGCUAAUGCUUGCAGUGGGGCAGACUAGCCCACUGUGAGUACAAUUAAUCCUGUCCCUAUGCAUGUGGAUAAGGCUUCGGCUGCUGGACCAUGGACAACCCACUCACAGGCACUGCUGCUGAAGCACCCUGCCUGAGGCCUCAUCACUAAGUGACGUACUUCUGCCAAGAUGGUGGCUGCUGUGGGCUGAGAGAUUGUGACAACAGGCUUCCUGUCUGUACAUUGAGAAGUACACUUCACAGUGGCACAAUGACCUCCACGUCCCCAGCCCUGCCGAGUGAGUAGACGUAGGACAGGAAACAUUAUGUCAUGGUUCAUGGUAUCAAGAAGAGCUCAAACAUGGAAGAAACUUGACAGAGGAGAAUUUAUGGCGACAAUGUCACCAGAAGAGCUGAAGCUGGUUUCCCACAGGAACCAGAACUCUGAAGUAAGCAAGGAAGUCCCCGAAGACUCUAUAGAGCCAACAGCUGCCACUUGGAAAGUCAGCUUCCCCAAACCAAUCUAUCUAAACCUGGGAAACAUGAGGGAGAAGUUUCUCCGUGACAGCCUUGAAUCAACCAAGCUUGGACACUGAAGAAGAAGAAUUCAGCCCUGAGUUGCUUAGCUUUACAGGUAAUCUGCCUGCCUGUGAUUUCUCAGCUUACUUUGCUACAUGUCUAAUACUGGUAUCCAGUUGUAGUAGAGCAGUUUGAAAUUGGAGCUAGCCAACUAAAAAACUGCUAACAAUUCAUUAAAACACAUUUUGUCUUAAUAUUUACGGUGCUCAAAUAUUUUCCUAGGCAUAUGAAGCACCCAAAUCUUAAGAACAGGUGGCAAAACAAGAAGGUAAAGGUAGAAACAAGAGAUUAGCACAGUGGCUCCAGUUCUUACAAGGAAGCAUCUGUGAGCUGUGUAGACAACAGGGAUGGGAAAGAGAUUUUGGGGAAGGAGGAGAGAUGAGAUUGGAAUGCUUGGGUGGAAGAAAGGGCAAGAAUCUAGACACAUUCAAAGCCACCCUGUCAGUAAACAUGAAAGAAAUUGCCUUUGUGCUGAGCAGUACAAGGAAGUGAGGUUGAGACUUUAGUGAAGGGCUGUAGAGUUCGCUCUCAGAUGGAGAUACAAUGCCUAUAAAGCUGAAGAACGCUGUGCUGAAGAGCCCUACAAAUGAACAGAAGACCCGAUGCUCGUGAGAUACCCUAGCAGGUUGCUGCAGUGGCCCCUAAGGAAAUCUUCGUCAAAACAGUAGCAGGGAAACACGGAGAGGGAAAAAGCGGGCAUACAAAUUAAUGCUAUUUAUAAAGACUAGACACGUUAUGUUUAUAGAUAACUUAGGAUGCGCAUAUUUGCACAUAAUAACAAUGAGAUAAAGAAGGUAUGGAUUUAGAAGAGUGUGUGGGGGGGUACACAGGACAGUUUAGAGUGAGGAAAAUGGAGAAAGGAAUGAUAUAAUUGCAUUCAAUCUCAGAGAUAAACAGAAAAAGUGCUGGGAAAGAGGAAUAGACAACUAAAGUAUUUACCGUGGGGCUAGGAGACAGGGAGAUAGCAAGGGUAGAUGAACAGAUUAAAGACAGUAGCAUAAAAUAGCUAGUAACACAGAAAGCCUCAACGGAGCCUCCCCAAGACCACAACCUCACAGCUGGUCUGCAGCAACACCAGCUUUUCCCGUGGGAAUGCUAUUAGGUCUCUUUCGGUACCCACCUCUCGAAAAGCCUCACUCUUGAGGGCCUGAAGCCGCUGGUUUGUUUGGGGUUGCAUGGUUUGUAUCUCUAAUCCAGUCAGCCCAGUUUUCUUCUUUUUCUGAAGAGCAAUGUACAACUGAUACAGAAGUUUGGUUGCUGCCCCGGGCUUUUCUGUGAUGAUGCUCUGAGCCACAUUCUGAUCAAACUGCACACCCAACAGGUGAAGCGUUGGUUGCAAGCGGGAGAAAUUAUUAAGUUUGGCAGUUGAGACCCUAGAGGCGAUGACAUGAUCAUAAUUAUAAAUUAAUGCCUAAUGAGAUGCAAACACCCAAUUCCAGAAGUACUGUUAUGACACUGUUAUGAUACAGUACUGUGAAUUAUUCCAACUGCCCCUUUGUCUUAAAUGACUCUGUAAUGAAAAUGCAUGGGGAUAAUUUUCCCCAUCAGUCAUGUUUAUCUAAACUUUAUUUUUCUUGAAAUAAACCGAAACUUAUUAAUUUUAUAGUUAAUGCUGUAAAUUGAUGAUAAAACUUAGUAUAGGAAAUAAGCACUAAGACAGAAAAUAUAUGCUGCUCGGUGGAUAAAUAAAACAAAGUACAGUUUUGAAAACUACAUUUUAUUCUAAAGGUGAAAUUGCAAUACAAAUGUCCAUUGUAUCAAGUUGUCAUUUAUUAUUGCUAAUGUCUUAAGUUAGUCCUAAAUUUUGAAUUAACAAGUCAAACAAUGGUCUUCUCAGAAACUCUUAAUACUCUUUAACUGAAGGAUAUUAGCUAUGGAAAUCAUUCUGUUACUCUUCAAUAUAUAGUUUAUGGUAAUUCUUUGAUGUGAAAAAGUCAACAAUUUGAAAUUUUAUUAUCUUUAAUUAUUUGAUUUCAACAUAGGCUCAGACUUUAAGAAACUAAUGAACAUUAACUUUCUCCAUGAAUUAGUAUUCUACUAAAUAACCAUAUUACUAAGGGUAUACCUCAUUCAAUUAAUUUAAAUAAUUUAUUGAUACAUAUGGCAGGAGAGAUAGUUUAAAGUCACUUGCUACGCUCCCAGAGAACAUGGGUUUGGUUCUCUACACAUGCAUGUCAGCUCAGAACUACAUCUAAUCCAAUUUCAUGGGAUCUGCAUGGCAUUAUAUGGCCUUUGUAGACACUAGGCAUUCAUGAGAUACACAUACAUAAUUCAGGUAAAACCUCAUGCACAAAAGGUAACUAAAUAAAAAUUAUUGAAGGGUUAAAAAUGAACAAGAUGUAGUUAUUACUUUUAGGUGUUCGUAGUUAAUGAGAAAUUCAUUUGCAUAACAGGCAAUAAAAAUUAGACGUUGCUUCAGGGAUCUCAAGUGGUCUAUAACUGUUAGUGAUUAAAAAAGACAUUCAAUUCAUUUGCAACUGUUGUGACUAUCAUCAACACAUAAACAAGUACUAGGCUUUGGCCUGAAUUCUUUGAACUUUUUAAAAAAGAUUUGUUUAUUUUAUAUAUGUGAGUACACUGUUGCUCUCUUCAGACAGACUAGAAGAGGACAUUGGAUCCUGUUACAGAUGGUUGUGAGCCACCAUGUGGUUGCUGGAAGAGCAGUCAGUGCUCUUAACCACUGAGCCAUCUCUCCAGCCCUGGCCUUCCAACAUUUAAAUCUAUUCUGUCUGUCUGUCUGUCUGUCUGUCUGUCUGUCUGUCUGUCUGUCUGUCUGUCUUGUCUGUCAUCUAUUUAUUUACAUUUCAAGUGUUAUCUCCUUUCUCAGUUUCCUGUCCAUAAACCCCCUUUCCCAUCGCCCCUCUGCCUUCCUCUGAGGGUGUUCCCCCACCUAUUCACCCACACCUUCCUGCCUCCCCACACUGACAUUCCCCUACACUGGGGGGUUGAGCCUUGGCAGGACUAAGGGCUGCUCCUCCCAUUGGUGCCCAACAAGGCCAUCUUCUGUUACAUGUGCAGCUGGAGCCACGGGUCAGUCCAUGUGAACUCUUUAGACUGUCCCACCUGGGGAUCCAGCCCAUAUACGUACAGCCACCAAGCCCAGACACUAUUGCUGAUGUCAAGAAGUGCAUGCUGACAGGAGCCUGAUAAAGCUGUCUCCUGAGAAGUCCAUUCUUUAAUACAAAAAACAUUCUGAGUACCCUUGAAUGUGAUCAAAGUGCAUACCUAAAGUCCUUCCUCAGAAUUGAGACUUGCCAUGUAUUUGAGUGAUUGUGAAAUAAGUGUGCAGAGAGACUCAUGUGCAUCGCCCACUGUGUGUAUUCAGAACGAUGGUAACUGAGAGUUAUCUAUCCAAGCUUAGGUUUGGUCCUAUGUUAACUGCAGUGUUUGUGAACAUCAUAAUUCAGAAGAGAUAAUACAAAGAAAAUCAUGAAACAAUCUCACUGUUUUCAAAGCUUAGCCCUUAGCCCUACAGUCAAGAGUUGCUCCUCUCUUCUCACUGUCUUACAUGGCUUCCUGAAUAUAGCAUUUUUGUUAAUAUAUAUGACUUCCAGUUUGGUUUGAAGAUACCAGUAAUAAACCAAAUAUCAGAAGUAAACACAAGAGAUCGCUCUGAAAGAUAUAAUGGAUAUUCUAAAUUCCCAGCCAUCCAGACUUUGAAGAACACAACUUGAAGAAUCUCAGGAAAUCUGAGAUUGUUAAGGCAUGCGCACAGCCUCACAGGAGGAUAAUCAGCUCUUGUUUUUGGAAACAGAAAAUCAGCUGGGACAUCUUGGCCCUGGAGACAGAGCAUAUGAUGCAAACGAUGACCUCUGAGGGAGUAAGGAUGGUGCCCUGGGAAACGUUCCCUUGCCCUCUGCUUACCGUCUUUCUUUGCCAAGGGAGUUAGGUCUCCUCUCCUGCUUGCCACCAGCUCACAGAACACACGUUUUCUCAACAAAAGAAAUGCUACCCUCGGGAAGAUAGUUCCUUAUUAACUAUUUUAUUCCUUUUAACUAAUCUACUUAAUAAUCCUCUCGGAGUUAGAGAAGUUAUUCCUAAAAUUAAGUCAUUUCUAAGACAUGUCACUUCGUGUCAUUAGCAGUGUAUAAAGCACAAUUUUAACUUCAGAUUAGAAUAAAGAUAUUAAAAAGUAUGAGAUGAUAAUCAUAUGCCUUAUCUUAGGGUUUCUACUGCUCUGAUAAAACACCAUGACCAAAAGCAACUUGGGGAGGGAAGGGCUUAUUUUCAUUUUAAGCUCUCAAGUAACUGUCUAUCACUGAAGAAAGUUAGAGAAGGAACCCCAGCUGGUCAGGAACCUGGAGUAAUGUAGUUCCCACACACAAGUACUGUUUCCUGCUUUGCUUUCCAUGGUUUGCUGGUUUAGAGCUGACGUACCUUACCAUCUACAGAGCAUUGCUUUCAAGAACCCUGCACAUGUAAAAAUCUACUAAAAUGGCAGUGCUACUUUCAUACAAUUUAAGUGCAUACACUUUUAUAGUUUAAGUCUUCUUUGGAUUACACUGUAAGUCCCUUGGAUAUUUUCAGCCCAUGCUUAAAUCCAUAGGUGAAGAAUGUCCAUGUGGAAAAAUCAUUGUGCACCUCAAAGAUUGGUAUUGCAUUAAAAAAAUGAGACCGGAACAGUUCUUUAAAAUGUCUAUGGCUAAAAUCAGGUGUAGAUUUUGACAUUGAUUUCUUGAGUACAGAAAUGAUAUUGUGAAUUUACCAUGGGUGAAGGAACUGUGCUUUGAGGACAACUUUAAGGAUAUUUGAAAUUCAUUUGAAGAAUGUCCUAGGUUACUUUUGUGGCUAUGAUAAAAAUUAUGACCAAAGCAACCUGCAGAGGAAAGUGUUUAAUUGUCUUACACUUUUUAAUCAUAGGAUAUCACAAGGAAGUCCAGAUUGGAACAUGAAGGUAAAAACUGAGGAGUGUUUCUUAUUACUGGCUUGAUCUCUAUGAAGUACUCAGCUUGCUCGCUUAUAUUAUCCAGGUGUCUAUAGGUGAAACCAGGCACAGCAGGCCUGGUCCUCCUGCAUGCACAUCAAUCAUUAAUAAUAGCAAUAACAAUAACAACAAUAAUAGCUUCAUGACGUGUUCACAGGCCAAUCUGAUGGAAGUAAUCCUUCAAGUAAAGUUCUCGCUUCCCAGUUUGUGCAAGUUGACAAACAAACUAAAAAGAAACUAACUUUUGAUGAACCAUUUUCCAAUAAUUUUGGGCACCCAGGUUUAACAUUAUUCUAAUAAAAACUGACACAAAUAAUCCUAACAAUACAAUUACAAAAAGUAUCACCAUGUUAUCAUUGGAAUGGAGAGAAGACAAGAGCUAAAUCUGCUGAAAAAUUAAGAGGAGAGUUUUUCAAAGCAAUAGUGAAAGAGUAAUAAUAGGCAAAGAUUCAUGUCUCAGCUUGAAUGAAGAUGGCUUCCAUAAGCUCACAUAUUUGAAUGCUUGGUGACCAGUUGUUAGAACUGUUUGGAAUGGAUUUUUGAGGUUUGGCUUUGUUGGAGGAAGUCACUGAGGAUGGGCUUUGAGGUUUCAAAAGCCCAUACUGUUCCUACUUAGUUCUCUCUCUCUCUCUUCCUCUCUCUCUCUCCCCUCCCCCCUCUCUCUCUCCAAUUCCCUCUCUUCUCUCUCUCCUUCCAUCCUUCCACCUCUGUGCCUCAUACCUGUAGAUAGAAAUGUAAAAUCUCAGUUACUGCUCCCGGGUCAUGCCUGCCUACCUGUCGUCAUGCUCUCAGUCAUGCCUUAAUGAUCCCUCCAGAACUGUGAGCCCAGUAAAUUCCUAAGUUGCCUUGGUCAUAGUGUCUUUUACAGUAAUAGAAAAUCAACUAAGGCAAUUUAAUUUGUGGGUAAGAUGUUUGAAAUGUGUACCCUCUUAGAAUUUACCUAGACAUUUACACAUUCAUUAAUUUACCAACCAAAAUAACCAAUCACUUAAAUUUCACCAAAUCUGCAGUUGGACCUAUUCAACCCUCAAGAAUCUAAAAACAAUGAUAACAACAACAACAACAACAACAAUAAAUAACAGGGGCAUUUGUAACUUGAAGGAUGCAUUGAAUACACAAUGUUGGAAACAAAAGGAACUGGCAACAAGGAGAAAUGUGCAGAGCAUGCAACUGUGAAACAUGUUCCUAAUGUGCACAAAAUGAUAAGCAGAAGUGUUGGAAAUCUGGCUCCCUGGAUCCAUACUGAAGAGGGUGCAUAAAGAGUGGGAGAGCCAGAGAUUGUGGACAAUGUCAAGGAAACGAAGACACCGAUGGAGUUUACGUAUGAACUCACAGAGACAUAGACAACAAAAACAAGACCUGCACUGGGUCAAGCAAGAGAAAAUCCUGGCACGGAGAGGUAGAGGGGAUGAGUGGGCACAAAGCCCCACUUUAGCAAGAAGCUACUGAUGGGUGCUGAGCCAGUAGAAUCAGUUUGUGUCAGUGGAGGGAAAUGGACUGGAUGAAACACUCCAGGGCAGGCCUAGGGCUCACCAGUAACUGGCUAACACAAAAUGGGCUCUUUUUGUUCUUUUUUAAAAGAUGUAUUUAUUUAUUAUAUAUAAGUACACUGUAGCUGUCUUCAGACACACCAGAAGAGAGCAUCAGAUCUCAUUAGAGAUGGUUGUGAGCCACCAUGUGGUUGCUGGGAUUUGAGUUCAGGACCUCUGGAAGAGCAGUCAGUGCUCUUAACCACUGAGCUAUUUCUCCAGUCCUUUGUUCUUAUUUUUAAGAGGGAGAAAGAACACAAAGUCAGGGUGGUGUGUCAGGAUCUGGGGGAGGUUGGGUGAGGAAAGAAUACAAUCAAAAUAUAUUAAAGUUGCUUUUUAAUAAAGAGCACUUACUGCGUUGCAUGUGUAAGAAUAGACUUUUUGUUGCCUUUUACAUCAUAUCACUCCCAUACCUUUUUUUCUACUUCAAAGGCAGGCUCCAAAUACAACAGCAGUAGCUAUAAAAUCCAGCAAUCAACAGGGAAGGCAAUUGUCUGAAGCCCCUCAGAAAAGAUGCUGGGUUCCAAGCCUACCACUAUUUGACCUGCCUGACAGUGCUGUGGAAAAUUCUUUAUUGUUGUUGUUUUGUUUGUUUGUUGUUUGUUUUUUUUUGUGGUCUUGUCAUUAUUUGAUCUGCCUUAAAGAUCGUUUGUUGAACUAAGCCAACAGUAUUUCAAGGAUAUUAAUAUAAAGUGACAAGUGGCUCAUGUUCAAGAUCCCACCUCCCUGUCUUGGUGCUAUCCGCUGCUCCAAACAAGAUCCUUCUCAAAAGAUCUAAGGACGAAAUGUGUGUUGAGGAGUCUGAAGCUCUUAUAGUUUCUGGGCAUCGAUGUAUAAGGCAAAAUACAUGUGUGCAAGAGUAUGGGUUCCAGGAAAAGACAGGAAGAUUCCAAAUACAUCAUGUCUCUAGCCAGGUUAAGGUAUUACUACCACAGGAAGUAGUGAGUAAGGAAGGAAGAAUAAGAAAUUUCCAAAGCAAAUAUCAUCCUGCGUGAGGUAACCCAAUCACAGAAAAACACACAUGGUAUGCACUCAUUGAUAAGUGGCUAUUAGCCCAAAUGCUCGAAUUACCCUAGAUGCACAGAACACAUGAAACUCAAGAAGGAUGACCAAAAUGCGAAAGCUUCACUCCUUCUUUAAAAGGGGAACAAGAAUGCCCUUGGGAGGGAAUAGGGAGGCAAAGUUUAGAACAGAGGCUGAAGGAACACCCAUUUAGAGCCUGCCCCACAUGUGGCCCAUACAUAUACAGCUACCAAACUAGAUAAGAUUGAUGAAGCAAAGAAGUGCAGGCUGACAGGAACCGGAUGUAGAUCUCUCCUGAGAGACACAGCCAGAAUAUGGCAAAUACAUAGGCGAAUGCCAGCAGCAAACCACUGAACUGAGAAUGGGAACCCUGUUGAAGGAAUCAGAGAAAGAACUGAAAGAGCUUGAAGGGGCUUGAGACCCCAUAUGAACAACAAUGCCAACCAACCAGAGCUUCCAGGGAUUAAGCCACUACCCAAAGACUAUACAUGGACUGACCCUCGGCUCCAAUCUCAUAGGGAGCAAUGAAUAAAUAGCCUAGUAAGAGAACCAGUGGAACGGGAAGCCCUUGGUCCUGCCAAGGCUGGACCCCCAGUGAAUAAGAUUGUUGGGGGUGGUGGUAAUAGGGGGAGGAUGGAGAGGGGAACACCCUAUAGAAGGGGAGGGGCAGGGGAUGGGGGAUGUUUGCCUGGAAACCGGGAAAGGAAAUAACAAUUGAAAUGUAAAUAAGAAAUACCCAAGUUAAUAAAGAUGGAGAAAAAAAAAAAGAAAUUUCCAAAGCAAAAUGUGCUUCAACACUCCCACAGAAUCACGCAGCAAUCGACAACUUGUCAAAAUGUACACCAGCUGAUCACUAGGCUGCCAAAUAUUGUAUCUAUCCGGCAAGGAAUAGAGACUUUACAGAAUUCACCCCAAAAGGCCAUCAAGGAAACAAAAGCAGCUGAAAUUGCAUCCACAGCAGAUAGCAGCAACAGCCCAAAAUGCAGAAAUUAGAGUUAGCAGAUGAGGUUCUUUUUUGUUAUUGGAUAGCUUAUGUAUUUACAUUUCAAAUGUUAUCCCCUUUCCCAGUUCCCCCCUCUCCCAUCCCCCUACCCCCUGCUUCUAUGAAGAUGCUCCCCCUUCCACCCACCCAUUCCCAACCCCCUGAUCUGGCAUUCAUCUACACUGGGGCAUUGAGCCUUCACAGAACCAAGAGCCUCUCCUCCCAUUGAUGCCAGACAAGGCCAAUCCUCUGCUUCCUAUGUACCUGGAGCCAGGGGUCACCCCAUGUGUAAUCUUUGGAUGAGAUCUUCCCCUUUAGUAUUGGGCAUUUGAAUACCUGGUCCCCAGUUGGUGGUUCUUUGCAGAGGAUUAAGAGAUAUGACCACCAGCUUUGAGGCUUCAAAAGACUUACACUAUUUCAAGUUAGAUCUUCCUGAUGCUUGCUUGUGGACCAAGACUGAUCCCUCAGCUCCUACUCUAGCACCAUGCCUGCCUGCCUGCAUGCGCUCCCUACUGUGAUAAUGAUGGCCUCAUCUGACUGGAAUGAUAAUCCUAAAAUAAUUUUUUUUUAAAAAGUUGCCUCAACUAUGGUGAACUCCGCAGCAAAAGAUAAGUAACUAAACAGCACAGUAUAUUAUUUUCCAUGCCCAAUGCUUAGUAAUUCUCACACAUGCAUACAAACAAGAAAACAUACACAAUAAGAAAACAACCCAGUAAAAGCCCUCUGAUGAGGCCUGUAAACAACUGGAGAAUGGAUAUUAAGAUAUUUCCCAAUAAAAAUAACUGUCCAACAUCAAAACAUAAAGAAAUAAAAAGUAAAACUUUUUCUAAAGUUAAAAACAAUUUUAAUUAGAAUGAGGUGAAAGCCUCAACCAUAAAGACAUAAAAAUUAUAAAAAGUAAGAACAAAAUAGAAUAUCAGAAUUUAGAAUUACUACUUGAAGUUGGCUCAGCUGGUGUGGUGAAUGGAGAU